rnacentral:rRNA from 1 species
UGGCGGACGGGUGAGUAACGCGUGGGUAACCUGCCUCAUACAGGGGGAUAACAGUUAGAAAUGACUGCUAAUACCGCAUAAGACCACGGAGCCGCAUGGCUCAGUGGGAAAAACUCCGGUGGUAUGAGAUGGACCCGCGUCUGAUUAGGUAGUUGGUGGGGUAACGGCCUACCAAGCCGACGAUCAGUAGCCGACCUGAGAGGGUGACCGGCCACAUUGAGACUGAGACACGGCCCAA